AGAUCGUGAUGUGGGCAAUUCCUUAGUAAGACCUUGUAUCUCUCCCAUGCCUUGUAUAAGGAUUCUCCAGCUUGUUGUUCGAAGUUUUCAAUGGCUUUCUUCAAUUU